rnacentral:rRNA from 1 species
GCCAUCAUUUAGUUGGGCACUCUAAUGAGACUGCCGGUGACAAACCGGAGGAAGGUGGGGAUGACGUCAAGUCCUCAUGGCCCUUAUGGUAGGGCUUCACACGUCAUACAAUGGUCGGUACAGAGGGUUGCCAAGCCGCGAGGUGGAGCCAAUCCCUUAAAGCCGAUCGUAGUCCGGAUCGUAGUCUGCAACUCGACUACGUGAAGUCGGAAUCGCUAGUAAUCGCAGAUCAGCAUGCUGCGGUGAAUACGUUCCCGGGUCUU